GCCGGCGUAGUUCAGUUAGCAGAACAACUCUUUCGUAAAGAGUAGGUCAGUGGUGCAAGUCCACUCGUCGGCUCCA
rnacentral:tRNA from 1 species